GCACUACUGACGAUUCCCGAACAGGACGAAACAGCUGUCCAGUGC
rnacentral:hammerhead_ribozyme from 1 species